UACGAAGGGGGCUAGCGUUGCUCGGAAUCACUGGGCGUAAAGCGCACGUAGGCGGCUUUUUAAGUCAGGGGUGAAAUCCUGGAGCUCAACUCCAGAACUGCCUUUGAUACUGGAAAGCUCGAGUCCGGAAGAGGUGAGUGGAACUGCGAGUGUAGAGGUGAAAUUCGUAGAUAUUCGCAAGAACACCAGUGGCGAAGGCGGCUCACUGGCCCGUAACUGACGCUGAGGUGCGAAAGCGUGGGGAGCAAACAGG
rnacentral:rRNA from 1 species